rnacentral:pre_miRNA from 1 species
CAACACAGGGUUGCUAGGGGCAGUGGUCAAGGAUCUGGGGGCCCAUGUACUGCCUUCCAUGGGCUCCUAGGUCCUUGAGCGCUGCCCCCAGCAACCCU